GGCAGGAUGGUGUAGUGGUUUGAGUGUUGGACUAAGAUUCCAGGAGACCAAGGUUCGAAUCCCCACUCAGCCA